CCAUUCUCACCUAAACAGGUCAGGAAAUCAAAUCAUAGCCUGCUCUGGCUCUGAAAAUAGCUUUUAUACACGCACAUCCAGGCUAGUUUGCUUACAGUAGAUCAAGUUCUGACUGGUUUUCCAUUGUUUAUGAGUCAUUCUAACCAGUGUCCACUUGAGUCAGUUCUGGCCUAGUUAUUAGUGAGCUGUGGUUGGCGGUUCAGAAUCUUCUUGAAUACGCUAAUUUGGUUUCCUUCCUCAUAGGAAUUGACAGACAUUAUGGAUUGCCGUGAUUUUAUCAAUCUCAUUUCAUUGACCUUAUGUAAAACUUCCUGAUGGGCUACCUUACUAUUACCUUUCAAUAGGUGGUGCCAGAGUACUGCUAAAUAAGCCCCAUGACACACUUGUUGUAACGUCUCUUCAGUCAGUCACAUUAAAGUGUGACACCAAUCAAAUAAUUUCAUAUUAUUUUAUGAAGUUGCCAAUAUUUCAGAAGAGGUUAUCUCAUAUUAGUUUUAAUCUGCCAUUUCAAUCGGAUGAAAGUGUCUUGAGUCUGGUUUGAGGUGUGUCUGACUGCUGUAAGAAAUGAAGUUGCGUCAAGUCAUCUUUGGUCUCUGAGUGGUUACAGUGCUGUUCUGUGCUGCCUCCCUCUCUUUCUCAAUCUCUGUCUAUUUCCAUCUCUCUCCCUUUCUGUCUCUCUCCCCCCUUUCUCAUUCUCUCUCUGCUGUUCCCCUCCCAACCCCUCUCUGUCUCUGAAUUUUUCAAUUUCAAGGGGUUUCAUUGCCAUGACAUUACACUGUGCUGCUGAAGCAAGGGUUACUAAUAACAACAGAAAACAAAACAAUUGCACAACUAAAAUAAUUUGUGGGAGAAGAGGAAUAUUUAUACAUCCCUCUAUCAGUCUCUGGCAUAUUCUUUACACGUCCCUACCUGUCUCUCUCUCUCUCUUUCUCUCUCUCAAUCUCACUGUUCCCCUCGAUUCCCUUCUGAAACAUAAAUGGAAGGCAGCCAAUACCCUUGGUGCGAAACCUAAUCUCCUCAGUGUCAGGAUGUUGCCUAAUGGGGUCUCAUGUCACAUGACUAGCGAUGGCACCCAUGCCUUGAGACAACCUGAGGGCGGAGGUGGGGCGGGGUGAAGAGGAUACAGACUGGGAUGAGUGGAGGGGCAGAUAAGACCCCUGGACGUCAGUUUGGUCACCGAGACCUUUCUCAGGGCUGCAGAUAAUGAAGUUGAAAGCCAGAGGGCCAAAUCUGCGGAAAUAGAUGACCUCAGGUGUGUUUCUGACAAGAGCUUCAAAGGACUGAGUCACACUUGGAGCGAGAAACAAACUGAGAGACAGCAGUGUGAUGAUUGCGGGGGAACCAUGCAGGGAGAGAGGCUCUGUUUCUUGUCUUCUUUUCAGAGGCAUAGAAAAAUACCCACUGUGAGCUGAAGUGGAUGAAACACUGAAAGACCAGCGUAAAGAUGUCGGAUGAAGAUGGCAUGGAUGUUGAAAGGCCUUUGGUUUCAAUUUCCUUUACUCCACCCCCCCCAUUCUGAUUAAAAAAAAAACAAAAAAAAAAAACUGAUGCUGGAACAUUACCCUGGCUGGCUGUGCUCCUCCAGUUUCUUCUUCUCUCUCUUUCCCUCUGUCCCCCUCUCAUCGGUAGGAAUAUGUUCAUGUUACAGUCCCAUGGCAAUCAAGGGGCUAGAAAGCGGUCCCUCCCACCCCAUGCAUACCCAGAUGCAUAUGUUCUGUCUUUUCUGUCUUAUUCGUCCUGGCAGAAAAGUUUGCAGGAGCCAUAAUUCUGUAUUUCUGUCUGGAGAUAUUGGUCUAAUGCUGAGAAUGUGUCAUAAAGCAUCAGUGAUUAAUGCUACAUUACACUUUGUCUCUGUAAUCUCGAUAGGGGCUAUCCUGCUGAAAUGAAAGAAACCAGCACUGAAUCAGAAAGGUUACCCCCCCCCCACCCAUAAUAAAAUCCAGCUCACACUGAGUCUCAUAAAUUCAAAUGAUAUAUAGACCUGGGACAUGCGUGCAUGGAAGGUCUACUCUAAUGGAUAAAUAACUAUUCAAUCCUCCACCCCCACCUUUCCAAAAAAGCAUUUUAAUAUUAGACCUGACUCAACAGCAUAGUCAUGAUUGUAUAAAGUAAGGUGAUGAAUUAUUCAUUUUGAAAUAUUAAGUCAUAUUUUAUUGAAAGCAGUACUGUAAGUUUGGCCCUGCAUGGCUGAAAAAUUCACAUUUAAAGCAUCGCCACCAAAUCUGCCCUAAAGUUCCUUCUAAAGAAUACCUGGAAGCUCGCAAGGAAUGAGGAAAAAGCAGGUUAACCAGAUCUAAAUGAGAUAACACUAAUUAUUGCACUACUUCACUGUACUAGCACCUGUAGAUUCAAUUUGUUCCCAGCCAGGGAAGCUCAGUGAAUUUUCAGUGGUACAGGCCAAUGUGCAAAGAUGGUAGAGCUUUUCCAGUAACACCAGAAACAAGUGGGCAUCAGUUUUGCAUAUAAAUCUGACAUUUCGCCUGAGGAAAUAAAUAUCUCUGUGUUUGAGAUCAGUAGGCUUGUCCUUUGUGUACUGUCAAUGUUUCACUGAUCAAGCAUAUUCAAAACACCAUGCAACUAAAACCUGGCAAUUUGUGAAAUGUGAUCAUAAGAGUUGCUUUCAUUUUCAAAAAAAAGUUGCCCUUUUUAUUUAACGAGUUUUGCUACUUUUAUUGAAGCCCUCCUCCCCGGUGGC